ACAAGGAAGUGUGUAAUCUCUGCCUUAGCUACACAUACUGAAGGGGCCGGACUGUGGGUGGCCAGGGACUCUUAUUUUGUGGCAUACUGCAUGAACAUGGUGCAACACUGAAUGGAGGGACAGUGCCAGGGCACUCCAGGCACUAUAACCAAUUCAAAGAGAUGAAAUGCUUAUAGUGACUACAUUGUCCCUUUAAGGACACAUGACAUGAGUGACAUGUCAUGAUUCCCUUUUAUUCCAGAAGUUUGGUCCUUAAGGGGUUAAUGAGCACACAAAAGAAACAGCACUCAUGCAGCAAAACAACUCCUCGUCAGAGGAAAACAAAAU